rnacentral:rRNA from 1 species
AUGGGAAAAAGAUGCAAGGUCAGAUGUGGAUGGGGUUGUUGGCUUGUCCAUGAUGCUGGUGCUGAUGCGGACACCGUGGCUGUCGUUUCCUCUGCACACCGAUUGGCCAUCCCAGAGAACUCGUCGAAGAUAAUCCAUGCCAUCGUGUGGCAUCGAUCUCCAUCGUCCUCGUCCUAUAGGAGCGAGCUGGGAGCAAGCUCAAACAGUUUGUCGUGGACAGAGAAGAGUGAGACUAAUAAGAGGCAUAUAUCCGAUGACUACGGUGGGAUGAAGUCGGGAAGUCACUCGCAGACGUUAGGGAGAUUGUAUGCCUGGGAGAAGAAACUGUAUGAAGAAGUCAAGCUGAGGAACCAAGACGCCAAAGGUGCACAGCUGCACUGUGCUGAAAAAACCAGGACAAAUGACGGGGAGCUCAGUGUGAAGAACAAGACUCAGGGGUUGCAAGUUUGA